CUACGGGGUGCUCCAGUGGGGAAUAUUGCACAAUGGGGGAAACCCUGAUGCAGCAACGCCGCGUGAAGGAUGAAGGCCUUUGGGUCGUAAACUUCUGUCCUAGGGGAAGAAACAAAUGACGGUACCCUUGGAGGAAGCCCCGGCUAACUACGUGCCAGCAGCCGCGGUAAUACGUAGGGGGCAAGCGUUAUCCGGAAUUAUUGGGCGUAAAGCGUGCGUAGGCGGUUUUUUAAGCGCGGGGUUUAAGGCAAUGGCUCAACCAUUGUCCGCCCUGCGAACUGAAAGACUUGAGUACAGGAGAGGAAAGCGGAAUUCCUAGUGUAGCGGUGAAAUGCGUAGAUAUUAGGAGGAACACCAGUGGCGAAGGCGGCUUUCUGGACUGACACUGACGCUGAGGCACGAAAGCGUGGGGAGCAAACAGGAUUAGAUACCCUCGUAGUC
rnacentral:rRNA from 1 species